rnacentral:tRNA from 3 species
UGCCGGGUCGUCUAAUGGUAGGACACAUGCCUCUGGAGCAUGGUAUUGGGGUUCGAGUCCCUGCCCGGCAG